rnacentral:tRNA from 1 species
GGGGAUAUAGCUCAGUGGUAGAGCACUUGCCUAGCAUGCAGGAAGCCAUUGGUUCAAUCCCCA